AACGAAAUAGAUCAGUUGGGAGAGCGUUAGACUAUAGAUCGAACGCACCUGGUUCGAUCCCGGGGUUCGCAA
rnacentral:tRNA from 1 species